CCUACGGGAGGCAGCAGUGGGGAAUAUUGGACAAUGGGCGAAAGCCUGAUCCAGCCAUGCCGCGUGUGUGAAGAAGGCCUUCGGGUUGUAAAGCACUUUCAGUGGGGACGAAAGCCUUGGGGCUAAUACCCUCGAGGAAGGACAUCACCCACAGAAGAAGCACCGGCUAACUCCGUGCCAGCAGCCGCGGUAAUACGGAGGGUGCGAGCGUUAAUCGGAAUUACUGGGCGUAAAGCGCGCGUAGGCGGUCUGAUAAGCCGGUUGUGAAAGCCCCGGGCUCAACCUGGGAACGGCAUCCGGAACUGUCAGGCUAGAGUGCAGGAGAGGAAGGUAGAAUUCCCGGUGUAGCGGUGAAAGGCGUAGAGAUCGGGAGGAAUACCAGUGGCGAAGGCGGCCUUCUGGACUGACACUGACGCUGAGGUGCGAAAGCGUGGGUAGCAAACAGGAUUAGAUACCCCAGUAUC
rnacentral:rRNA from 1 species